rnacentral:rRNA from 1 species
UACGUAGGUCCCGAGCGUUGUCCGGAUUUAUUGGGCGUAAAGCGAGCGCAGGUGGUUUAUUAAGUCUGGUGUAAAAGGUAGUGGCUCAACCAUUGUAUGCAUUGGAAACUGGUAGACUUGAGUGCAGGAGAGGAGAGUGGAAUUCCAUGUGUAGCGGUGAAAUGGGUAGAUAUAUGGAGGAACACCGGUGGCGAAAGCGGCUCUCUGGCCUGUAACUGACACUGAGGCUCGAAAGCGUGGGGAGCAAACAGG